rnacentral:rRNA from 1 species
UACGUAGGGGGCAAGCGUUGUCCGGAAUCAUUGGGCGUAAAGAGCGUGUAGGCGGCCCGGUAAGUCCGCUGUGAAAGUCCAGGGCUCAACCCUGGGAUGCCGGUGGAUACUGUCGGGCUCGAGUCCGGAAGAGGAGUGUGGAAUUCCUGGUGUAGCGGUGAAAUGCGCAGAUAUCAGGAGGAACACCCGUGGCGAAAGCGGCUCUCUGGAACGGUACUGACGCUGAGACGCGAAAGCGUGGGGAGCGAACAGG